rfam:Oryctolagus cuniculus chromosome X, whole genome shotgun sequence.
UGCCCUAGCAGCGGGAACAGUACUGCAGUGAGCUAUAGGACUUCUGGAGUAUUGCUUCUGCUGCCAGGGUA